rnacentral:lncRNA from 1 species
CCUGUUCAGUGACUGUGAGUGACCACCCAGCACCUGAGACCUUGCACCCCAGUUUUGAGCUGGGAACGAGCCGAUACUUGUGCUGAUAGCUACUCCGUAUCCGCCGUCCCCAUCCUGCGUGGGAGGGAACUGGCACUUUGAAAAUCCUUUUCUGCUUGAGAAAGAGCAGAGCAGCCUUUGCUCCUCCCGCUGUGACCUCCUGUGCUUUGCAAAGGUGAUUUGGCAAGUGCAGCUGCGCGCCCCGCUCCAGUAUCGCACGUCUACGGAAAAUUCCAGUCAGGUCUUAGCCCCAGUCACAGUACAUUUUUCUGAGGAUCAGUAAUGAUUUGCUGAGGAUCAGUAAUGCUCUCCGUCUGCCGGCUGACAAGGGCGUGAUCUCUGUGCUAUUAUCCUCCAUUUGUCAGCUCCUCUCUGACACAGUUGUCCGCCGAUUCCUUAGGAAUAUUGGAGGUAUUUAGGCACAAUUUCAGGAGCUGCUCCAGCUUGUAGCCUCUCAUUCCUAAUCAACAUUUCCCAGCUGAGACUAUAGAUAAUUCAACUAGGCGGGUUAUCAGAGGCGUUCUUCCUACUCUGCUUCGUUUGGAUCUCUGCGCCCUCUAAGGUUCAGGGAGCUGGCUCCGACGUUUCCCAUCAUCACGAUUUUCAGGAGUCGGGGCUACAAAGAACCGAAAGGAGAUUCAUCCAUCACAGUUAGUCAACGUUUCUCCAAGUGCAACGUUUCUCCUCGCAAAGGACCUGGAUUAGACUGGCAAUACGCCACCUCUUCUGCUGGAAGUGACAACCUGCAAGAAUUCCAAGAGAUAAAACACAAAAGUUUGGGAGCUUCCCUGGAGUCUUUAACUCACAGACUUUUCCACAACAAGCCUCCAGCAAGUCAUCAAUUACAGUUCAGGUGUUCCCACCUUGGUACUAGUUUCCACAGAGAUAUCUGCUCUGGUAACUUGUUCUCCAUUUCUGCCAGUCUGUGUCUCCAAUUCUGGGGACAGCGAUUUGCCCUGUGAUCUCACUUCUCUCAUGAAUCUAAGAAGAGUUGUUGAUUUUUCAGUUUGUUCAGCUUUUUCCUUGUUAUUAGGAUGGCGUGGCAACUUCCAAGCUCCCUACAUGAUGGACUGGAAACUGGAAGUCUCAUAAGUCUUUUUACAAUGUAAUAAAACAUGUUAAUUCUCACUAUUUCUAAU